AUAUCAGUCAUGCAUAGCAUAUCAAUAAGCGGAGGAAAAGAAACUAACAAGGAUUCCCUUAGUAACGGCGAUGUGAAGCGGGAAGAGCUCAAAUUUGAAAUCUUCAAGGUUUUACCUUGACGAAUUGUAGUUUAAAGAAGUGUUUUCUGUUGAAGUUUUGGUAAAAGUUCUUUGGAAUAGGACAUCAUAGAGGGUGAGAAUCCCGUAUUUGACCAUUACUUUCAGCUUUGUGAUACACUUUCAAAGAGUCGGAUUGUUUGGGAAUGCAGUCCAAAAUGGGUGGUAAAUUUCAUCUAAAGCUAAAUAUUGGCGAGAGACCGAUAGCGAACAAGUACCGUGAGGGAAAGAUGAAAAGAACUUUGAAAGGAGAGUUGAACAGUACGUGAAAUUGUCAAAAGGGAAGCGUUUGACACCAGUGUUGUUUUCUCGAAAAUCAAUUAAAAAGAGUUGGAUUUUGUGUUGUAUUGACUUUAUCAGCUUUCUUCACUCUUUUCCAGCUUUUUUUAAUGCACUUUUCGUUUAACAAGUCAACAUCAGUUUCUUUUGUUGUAAAAAGGUCAUUGGAAGGUGGCUUUCUCUUCGGAGAAAGUGUUUAUAGCCUUUGACUCAUGCAAUCGGAGAGACUGAGGUCUGCAGCGUAGAUCCUUCGGGGUUAGAUACAUUUGUGCUAAGUUAUAGCUUUUCAUAGACAACUUGUUGACUAUGUUUAGUCUUGUAGCUUACUCGCUUAUGCUAUUUUACCUACGCUUAGGAUGUUGAACUCUAUCACACACAG
rnacentral:rRNA from 1 species